rnacentral:rRNA from 1 species
AGAGUUUGAUCCUGGCUCAGGAUGAACGCUAGCGGCAGGCUUAACACAUGCAAGUCGAGGGGCAGCACGGGUAGCAAUACCUGGUGGCGACCGGCAAACGGGUGCGGAACACGUACAGAAUCUACCCUUGUCUGGGGCAUAGCCCGAAGAAAUUCGGAUUAACACCCCAUAAAAUAGCAGGCUGGCAUCAGCUAACUAUUAAAACUCCGGUGGACAGAGAUGACUGUGCGUCCCAUUAGCUAGUUGGUAGGGUAAUGGCCUACCAAGGCGACGAUGGGUAGCUGGUGUGAGAGCACGACCAGCCACACGGGCACUGAGACACGGGCCCGACUCCUACGGGAGGCAGCAGUGAGGAAUAUUGGUCAAUGGACGCAAGUCUGAACCAGCCAUGCCGCGUGAAGGAUGAAGGCGUUAUGCGUUGUAAACUUCUUUUAUCUGGGAAGAAAAGCACUGUUUCUACGGUGUCCGACGGUACCAGAGGAAUAAGCACCGGCUAACUCCGUGCCAGCAGCCGCGGUAAUACGGAGGGUGCAAGCGUUAUCCGGAUUUACUGGGUUUAAAGGGUGUGUAGGCGGACUUUUAAGUCAGCGGUGAAAUCUCCGGGCUCAACCCGGAAACUGCCAUUGAUACUAUUGGUCUUGAAUAUUGUGGGAGGUGGGCGGAACGGGUCAUGUAGCGGGUAAAUGCUUUAGAGAUGACCCGGAACACCGAUU